CCUUCAGAAUAAGAAAGAGAAAAAGAAAGUGAAGACGUAGCUUUAUAGAGAGAUAGGAAAUGAGUGAAAAAACAAAUGUGAUGCCUUGCAGCAUCACGGAUGUGAACAGGAACGCUAAUAACUGGUUGGAGAUCGAAGACCUCGCCCGCUACGCGGUCGACGACAACAACAAGAAAAAGAAUGCUGUUUUAGAGUUUGUGAACGUGGUGAAAGCAAAACAGCAGGUGGUUGCUGGUAUGUUGUACUGCAUAACCCUGGAAGCAAACGAUGGAGGUGAGAAGAAAGUAUACGAAACCAAGGUCUGCGUGAAGGCAUGGCAGAACUUCAAGGAGGUGCAGGAAUUCAAACUUAUUGGUGAUGCUCCUUCUGACUCCAUCACUGCCACUACCACUACCACUACCACUAUCGCGUAGCCAGGUGAUGGUGACUAUGCAAAAAUUACUAUGCUUAGUUGAAGCCUAAGUUCAUAAUAAUAUCUCAUAAUAAUAUUAACGAUGUACUCCAUUAAUAAAUGGAGGUAAAUCCUUCCUGUAGAAGUAAAAUAAAUAAAUAAAUACUUAUCUUUUGAAUUAUUCAAAGUUUGUGGAUGGAUACAUCUUACAGCCAUGAAUUAUGGUGCAUCUCUUUGAAUGGAUACAUGUUACCAUUUUGUUGAAUCUUUGAAUUAUGGUGACUCUCUUU